CAGCAGCCGCGGGAAUACAGAGGAUGCAAGCGUUAUCCGGAAUGAUUGGGCGUAAAGCGUCUGUAGGUGGCUUUUCAAGUCCGCCGUCAAAUCCCAGGGCUCAACCCUGGACAGGCGGUGGAAACUACCAUGCUGGAGUACGGUAGGGGCAGAGGGAAUUUCCGGUGGAGCAGUGAAAUGCGUUGAGAUCGGAAAGAACACCAACGGCGAGAGCACUCUGCUGGGCCGACACUGACACUGAGAGACGAAAGCUAGGGGAGCAAAUGGGAUUAGAUACCCGGGUAGUCCCUGUCUCUUAUAC
rnacentral:rRNA from 1 species